GUACUCGAGCGGCGAACGGGUGAGUAACACGUGAGUAACCUGCCCCUGACUCUGGGAUAAGCCCGGGAAACUGGGUCUAAUACCGGAUACGACCGGCUCUCGCAUGAGAUGCUGGUGGAAAGUCUUUUCGGUUGGGGAUGGACUCGCGGCCUAUCAGCUUGUUGGUGGGGUAGUGGCCUACCAAGGCGACGACGGGUAGCCGGCCUGAGAGGGCGACCGGCCACACUGGGACUGAGACACGGCCCAGACUCCUACGGGAGGCAGCAGUGGGGAAUAUUGCGCAAUGGGCGAAAGCCUGACGCAGCGACGCCGCGUGGGGGAUGACGGCCUUCGGGUUGUAAACCUCUUUCAGCAGGGACGAAGUUGACGUGUACCUGCAGAAGAAGCGCCGGCUAACUACGUGCCAGCAGCCGCGGUAAUACGUAGGGCGCAAGCGUUGUCCGGAAUUAUUGGGCGUAAAGAGCUCGUAGGUGGCUGGUCGCGUCUGCCGUGAAAGCCCGCAGCUUAACUGCGGGUCUGCGGUGGAUACGGGCCGGCUAGAGGUAGGUAGG
rnacentral:rRNA from 1 species